rnacentral:rRNA from 1 species
GUACACUCCUACGGGAGGCAGCAGUGGGGAAUUUUGGACAAUGGGCGAAAGCCUGAUCCAGCAAUGCCGCGUGAGUGAAGAAGGCCUUCGGGUUGUAAAGCUCUUUUGUCAGGGAAGAAACGGUGAGAGCUAAUAUCUCUUGCUAAUGACGGUACCUGAAGAAUAAGCACCGGCUAACUACGUGCCAGCAGCCGCGGUAAUACGUAGGGUGCAAGCGUUAAUCGGAAUUACUGGGCGUAAAGCGUGCGCAGGCGGUUUUGUAAGUCUGAUGUGAAAUCCCCGGGCUCAACCUGGGAAUUGCAUUGGAGACUGCAAGGCUAGAAUCUGGCAGAGGGGGGUAGAAUUCCACGUGUAGCAGUGAAAUGCGUAGAUAUGUGGAGGAACACCGAUGGCGAAGGCAGCCCCCUGGGUCAAGAUUGACGCUCAUGCACGAAAGCGUGGGGAGCAAACAGGAUUAGAAACCCCGGUAGUCCCAUG